UGAAACAUACACGGGAAACCUC
rnacentral:miRNA from 10 species